GACGAACGCUGGCGGCGUGCUUAACACAUGCAAGUCGAACGAUGAUCCGGUUUCGGCCGGGGAUUAGUGGCGAACGGGUGAGUAACACGUGGGCAAUCUGCCCUGCACUCUGGGACAAGCCCUGGAAACGGGGUCUAAUACCGGAUACGACCUCCAACUGCAUGGUUGGUGGUGGAAUGCGUUUAGUGGUGCAGGAUGAGCCCGCGGCCUAUCAGCUUGUUGGUGGGGUGAUGGCCUACCAAGGCGACGACGGGUAGCCGGCCUGAGAGGGCGACCGGCCACACUGGGACUGAGACACGGCCCAGACUCCUACGGGAGGCAGCAGUGGGGAAUAUUGCACAAUGGGCGGAAGCCUGAUGCAGCGACGCCGCGUGAGGGAUGACGGCCUUCGGGUUGUAAACUUCGAAAGAAUAGGAAGAGUUAAUGACGGUACUAUUUAUAAGGUCCGGCUAACUACGUGCCAGCCGCCGCCGUAA
rnacentral:rRNA from 1 species